rnacentral:rRNA from 1 species
UACAGAGGCCUCGAGCGUUAGGCGGAAUCACUGGGCUUAAAGCGUGUGUAGGUGGAUGCCUAAGUACCUUGUGAAAUCCCACAGCUUAACUGUGGAACUGCUUGGUAUACUGGGUGUCUUGAGCCACUCAGGGGCUACCGGAACAAGCGGUGGAGCGGUGAAAUGCGUAGAUAUCGCUUGGAACGCCAAUGGUGAAAACAGGUAGCUGGGGGGUGUGCUGACACUGAGACACGAAAGCCAGGGGAGCAAACGGG